CUCCUGCAAGUUAUCCUCCUGCCUCAGCCUCUUGACCAGCUGGGACUACAUGCCACCACACCUGGCUUGCAAACACCAUUCUUAAUGAGAUGGUUACCAUAAGUCUGUUAUCUAAGAGUUGAAAGCUCCAGCCUUGAAGAUGUUAACAGGUGCAAGGGAAAGGAACACCAUGGUUCUGAGGAGUUCAGCAUACAAGUGCUGCCCUCACAGCUCAUGCCUGGGGCCUGCAGUGAAAAGGAAGCUGGAAGUGAUGCUUGCUGCAGGGGGAAGUUCCCUGGCCUGCGAACCAUGCUGGCCAGCACCACUGCCUGCGGGGGUGAAAUGCAGUUUGCCUCAGUCAUUCAUUUGGUUGACAAAGGCAUGGGUCCCUUAUUCAACACUGUGAGAACACCAAGGACAGGCCAGUUCCAGGCAUGAAUCCUUGAGUUUUGUACCAAUACCACAAGACAAUUUGCUAUCAUGAUAAAACACUGGAGAUACGAUGCUGACUGAAUGAAGAACAAAAAUGGGAAGACUUGGCUGUGCGGAAAUUGAGUUCUGGAAAAGAGAAGAUGCCUGAUGAGGGUGCGUGGCGUAGAUUUCAGUUUGAUAUCAAAUAGAAACCAAAAGCAAAAUCCUAAGAAGAGUAAGUUUCUACAAAUUGAGCAAAAUGCAAGGUAGCCAUAGUUUCUGGUGCUUUUGUCUCUUCAUGGCGUUUUUUCAAACUGGAUGGGCGGGAGAAGGGCGCCUAGAGCAAAGCUAGUUGAGCAAUACUGCCAUCGUGAGGAAAUAGUUUCAUGAAGUCCCAAGCCAAGAGCAUUUUCCUCCACGUAAGCCUUACCAGGUGAAGAAGGAAGGGUCUGUGGGAAGCUGAACAGGCCCUCAUACCACGUUUGGCUUUCUAAAACUUUUCUUUGAAGCCUGGCAGGAGAAAUGGACAAAUGCAGUCUUGGGGUAGUAUCUGGUGAGUGAGGGACCAGGACUGAGUCAGCAGCUUCCAGAAAGUCCCAGCACAGGAAGUAGAAUGGCAGAGUGUUAGUUUUCUUACAGUGUAGUUAGGACUAGAGGAAGCCCCUUAUAGCCAAAGGCGGACCCUGGAAGCAUUAAUCUUAUGAACAUGCACUUUGGAGUUUUAAGGCAGUCUCACGGUCCUUCUGUUGUGUGGCCAAGGCGUUUAUAGCAGUAGUGUCAGAGCGCAAUGGACAGUCCAACUCUAGGUACCACCUAUCUGUAGGCAGUGUUAUUUAUAGAUACACCAAAAUUCCAGAACAUCAUUGUCUAGAGCAAGAAGAACCUGUGCAGAAGUAGGGAUACCCUGACAUGCCAAUGUGAGCCCGAACAUCUAGGAGAGCAGAUUUGCUCAACUGGAUGAAAGCCAAUAAUGUAAUGGAAGGCCCAGGCAAUUCCUGAGUCCAAAUGCUAGCAGCUUCUGUGACUUUACAGGUUAAAGAUAAAGUCUCUUGUCAUGACAGGACUCUGAUAUCAUCUCGGUUCUCUCAUGGAAGGCAGAUAGGUGGCUAUUUUCUGUCGGCCAUCCCCUAAGAAAGAUGGCAUUUUUUAGGCCCCAGGAAACCAUUAUUUACCUGAUAUAGCUAGUGUUCUCUGUGCCAGCUUCAGAGCUAGUUCCUGAUGAACAUUUCACAACAGUCUACAAGUGUUAGGUCUGGAGCUUGCAUUCUAUUCCUUUAUUUCCCUAGGGUUUUGGCUAAGGCUACAAUGCCUAAUAAUAAGAUAAUCUACCCUUUUAGUGUGGAGACCUCCAGAUACUCCAUGAUUCAUAAUUGCAGAAUCCAUAAGGAUGGCUAAAAUUUUAUGGGCGACUUGAUCUUAAUGACAUUCUUCUUCACUGUCUAUUAUCACAGCAUCUGAAUUCUUUUAUUUAUUUAUUGAGUCAGAGUCUUGUUCCAUUGCCCUGGGUAGAAU